UAGUGAGGAGACAACAGUCUAUAUAGACCCUAAUGAGGAGACAACAGUCUAUAUAGACCCUAAUGAGGAGACAACAGUCUAUAUAGACCCUAAUGAGGAGACAACAGUCUAUAUAGACCCUAGUGAGGAGACAACAGUCUAUAUAGACCCUAAUGAGGAGACAACAGUCUAUAUAGACCCUAAUGAGGAGACAACAGUCUAUAUAGACCCUAAUGAGGAGACAACAGUCUAUAUAGACCCUAAUGAGGAGACAACAGUCUAUAUAGACCCUAAUGAGGAGACAACAGUCUAUAUAGACCCUAAUGAGGAGACAACAGUCUAUAUAGACCCUAAUGAGGAGACAACAGUCUAUAUAGACCCUAAUGAGGAGACAACAGUCUAUAUAGACCCUAAUGAGGAGACAACAGUCUAUAUAGGCCCUAAUGAGGAGACAACAGUCUAUAUAGACCCUAAUGAGGAGACAACAGUCUAUAUAGUCCUAGUGAGGAGACAACAGUCUAUAUAGUCCUAGUGAGGAGACAACAGUCUAUAUAGAUCCUAUUGAGGACACAACAGUCUAUAUAGACCCUAAUGAGGAGACAACAGUCUAUAUAGACCCUAAUGAGGAGACAACAGUCUAUAUAUAAUAUGCAAUUUCACAACUCUAAGACAGGGUUAUUUUAAAGUGGAUGUAUUUAUUAACCAAUAAAUAUAAUUCCAGUAUAAAAAACCUGCUCUUCAAACAGAACAGAUGAAUUAAACAUGUACAAUGAGGAUCAACAAAUCCAACAUCCCUGGUUUGUGGGACUGGAAAUGAUGCAGACAAUUACAUUGAUAAAAGAAACAAUCUGCAACAUUAAAGCUGUUCUAAAAUGAUGUCAUAAUAAAUACUGAACCUCCACUUCCUUCACGCAGUAAUACACCUUUUAUCAAAUCAUUAAACAUUAUUAUAAACAUUGAUCACAGUAUAUUGUAUUGUACACAGCACACAUUGUACAGCACACAGUCUCUAACCUUCACCCCUCUGUCUGUCUAUCUAUCUAUCUAUCUAUCUAUCUAUCUAUCUAUCUAUCUAUCUAUCUAUCUAUCUAUCUAUCUAUCUAUCUAUCUAUCUAUCUAUCUAUCUAUCUAUCUAUCUAUCUAUCUAUCUAUCUAUCUAUCUAUCUAUCUAUCUAUCUAUCUAUCUAUUCUAUCCAAUUCAAUUCAAGGGGCUUUAUUGGCAUGGGAAACAUGUGUUAACAUUGCAAAAGCAAGUUAGGUAGAUAAUAUACAAAAGUGAAAU
rnacentral:lncRNA from 1 species